rnacentral:lncRNA from 1 species
CCCCACUCAGUGCUUAUCAGGACGUUGUGCCGUGGUUGGUACCAGAAGUCGUAACCAAAGGGAGGGCACUUCCCUCCUUUCUCCCAAUUACCCUUCACUUCAAAGGUCUCUCCAUCCAGCAAAACAAAGCCACCUUUCCCAUUGCCAGAAGGAUCUCCCAAGCAGCUGAUCAGGAUGUCACCGCUGCCCAGACAGUGGGAGGUGUGGGGAUUUGCCACGUUCCCCUUCCAGAACAGCUCCACAGGCUCCACAGUCUUAUGGAUUCUGGGGGCUCGUGGGUCUGUGCCCACAUCCACCACGUAAAUGCGGGAUGAGAUCAGGCAUGGGAGAAUGAGACGAUUGCGACUCUUUGUGGUGUCCCCAAAGCAGCUGCUGCAGGCGUUCCACCCCGAGUGAUGGAGCUCGUCUUUCAGGUUGGGCAUGGGCAGGCGGUGGAUGACCUGGCAAUAGUGUGGGGAUUUGGGGUCAACAUCCACAGUGGCCAGGUAGUCCGGCUUCUGGAUGCCGGUGUUCCUGUAGAUGCAGGGCAGGUAGACAAUCUCCUCCCGGGGACCUUUCAUGGCGUCCAGGGGAGUUGCGUAUCCUGGGCCGCACGCUCCGCAUUUUGCCAUGUUGGC